UGGCUGCACAGCAGCAAAGCAGGGCUGUUUUCUCCCCUCUGCCCCAAGCUUUGCUUUUCCAGCAGAGAGCACCAGAUACUGAGAGGAACAGCACUUGAAGAGAUGCACAGUGCAGGACAGGCAGAGACAAGUGUCCAGGAGUAACUGCUCAGUGACCGAAAGCCUCCCUGAAGGAGCACCCAAGAGCAAACAGACUCCAGACUGAGAACACCCGCUGUGGGAUGGUGUUACUCCAUAGGACAACCUAUGGGUUCCAGGUCUCCUCAGGCCCCCACGAUCAUCACCAAGCCAACAGCAUCACGAAACAGGACAGAUUUGUGCUUCCAAACAUGAGCCCUGGCUUCCUGGUUGUUGGAAGGCUUUCAAACCAUUUGUGUUGGAGGGUCUUCUGCCUGGUAUUGACGUGCCCACUACUUUGUUCUCGUUGCAGAUCUGUUGGACACGCUGAAGAAAAUUUUGUAGUAGAUGUAGACAUUGACAAUCCUGAGAAGGAUGCCUAGGAGGUAGCUGAGGGCUCUGAGGAGGGCUGCAGCCCCGCUGGAGAGGGGGAGCAACCAGAGAGUGGGGCUGUAGGAUGGAGAAGUGCUGCUGGCCUUCAGGACAUCAUCAACCUGCAGCAGGAUGCACUCGGCAGCAACCAGCAGCCAGAUGGCCCUGGAGGUCAGCCUGGCAUUUCUCACUGUCCGCAGGCUGCGGGACUCCAUGGGGAAGAAGGUGAUGAGGUAUGCCUCCACGGCCACGCAGCUGAGCAGCAGGGCGCUGAUGUGUGUGUUGGCCACCAGGAGGUUCUGCAGCAGUGCUGGUGUGAAUGCUGUGCGUGGGACAGCAAUGCUGGAGGUCCACAGGAACAGCUCAGCAACAGCACUCACAGAAAUGAGGAGGUCUGCUUUUGCUAGGCUGGAGAUGAAAACUGCAGUGGAUUUGGAGGAAACUCUGGAGGACUGCAGGAUGAGCAUCACGUACCCACUGCCCAGCACACCCAGCAGGGUGCUGAUGGCGUUGGAAGAUGACAGGACGAGGUACUGGAUGUACUUAAGCACCAGGUAUCUUCUGAAAUCCUUCAUGUGGUCUCUCUCCCUGGAAAUGCCAGCUAGGGAAGAACACCUGGAAUGCAUAUAAAGAAGGUGGUUACGUGUAAGACUGGUGGGAUACGUUCCAGACAAAUGUUACGUGCUUGUACAGACUCCGUGCUCACUGCAGCACUGCUGUGGCAUUGGUUGUUACCCAGAAUUGCAGUCAUUCAGUACAUGAAAUCCUCAAAGUGCAUCAAUUAUGAAAGAAAUGGCCUGCAAACCCAGGGGAUCCUAGCAUCUUCUCGUAAUUAAUGCAAGGAACUGUAAUGACUCCAGGCAAAUACUGGGAAACCAAGGUCAGAAUGGUGCUACUUCCAUUAUGCAAGUUUUUUUUUUUUUUCUAGCUUGCCAUAGUGAGCCAACAGUCUGGCAGUGAAGAAUCCAUUGCCUUUGAAACUGGAUGAAGCAAUUUCAGAGAUAUUCAUGGUUAUCACUGAGAAGUCCUUAAAGACAAACGGGAAAAGCUCCAGAAAACUUGGAGAAGAGAAGCAGGCCCUGCCCUGAGAGAGGAGCAAGAGGGGCUCCUUCCCAGCAAACUGCUGAAGUAACCAAACGUCAUCUGAGUGAUGGAGUGGAGACAAGGAAACACAAGGGGGAUUCCUCACAGGUGAAGCAUACUGAGUUGGCUGAGCUCCCUCCUCUAGCAGGGUGAUAGAGCCUGGGGGGAGAAAGCAGUCAGCAAGAGUCUUCUAUUUAAGUACCUAUAUAAAAUUCAAGAUAUAUUCAUCUUGGAUUUUGUUAAGACUUCCAACAUUGUUUAUGAGGCAUCAUACAAAGGAGUAAGCUAGGCAGUGCAGGCUAGGAAGAGCUACAAUUAAGUCAUGCCUAGAGGGGUGGAAAAAUGAGAGGCUAAUUAUCAGAAAUUGUAGGAAUGAUGUAUCAGAGGAGGAUCUGCAGAAUAAGGAACAGAGCUCACGCUUAUUGAGUUAGCUUAUGAAGUCUGCUGUAACACAUGAGCAAGAAUGCUGUAACCAUUUGUGAGGCCAGCAGUUUGAGAAAGGUAUCGACUGCUGGCAGUGUUUGAUGUGGAUUGAAGGCGAUGAAAGAAAGCUAAAAUGUGGUUCAGAGUGGAAGGAGUCAGCAUUGCACAGCCUGGAUUAGAAGAGAUGCUCAUUUGUCAAACUGCCCUGAUGUCAAUUAAGAUCACAGACGAAGGAAAUGGCAUUGCUGCUCCCCCUGGCAGGAGCGCCCUGGGGCUUGGACUGCAUGCAAGGCUUUUCCUGCAGUUACCCAGCAGGACUGGGUGGCUGCUGUGGUUCCUGCCUGAUUUUAGUUUGCAUGAGACAAUGCCAAAGUGAUAAUUCUGUGCAAUUCCUGAGAAAGGCACUACAUGAGCCAGCAUCUGUAAGGAUGGGAUUCCUGUUGCUUCUUGAGGCUCAGUUGCUCAUCCAGGUUGACUCAUCCAAGAUCCAUGAGCACCUUUUCUCCUCUUUUAUGUACCUGAGCCAACCUGGGGGAAUCCUUUGUGAAGAGGUAGGAAAAACUCAGCUGUACUGUGGCUGAAUUGGGAUGGGUUCAUCUUACCCUCAUUUUCCACAUUUAACUAGAAAAAAAAUCUGUGUUUUCUGUCAAAAGCAACAUUUCUCUGUAGUUCAGGGCUCUUUCCAUUAACACAAGGGUCUCUGCCAGCUCAGUCCUUUACAGUCCACUAACCUGCCAAGAUGUGGCAUUGCCUCACUGCUGAUGGAAGGUGAAGAGGAGGGUUGGUCACUGAGCGUUGGUUUGACCACUUGGAUAAAAAGCAUUGCUGGAAUGAGGAUCUGCUGUUGGAACAAGCCCUCCCAACCUGCAGUGUGGAAGCUUGUCCUUCUGGCUGGUGGUGGAGGAAAACCAAACUGUGUUACAUGUAGCUGAGCUCUGCUUUGUUCUGUUACUCAAGGAAGUUCCUCCUUGUUGGGCUGGCUGCUGGAAUCAUUAAGGUUGGGAAAGACCUCUAAGAUCAUCAGGUACGUUAAGGAUGCUUUUCUGACCAUAAAUUCUUGCGUGAUGCAAAGUCCCUGUGACCUGGCUGCUGCGUGCAGGAGAUCAAUGUGUUUGGCCAGAGGUCUUUGGCUGAAUUCAAGGCCGUGGUUCCCAGAAGGAAGGCAGCAAACAAAUCAGAACUGGUUUGGGCGGUUCAAUGAGCGAGGGAAGUGUGCAGCUCCUUGACCUGGGGUUUUACAUCUCCUCUGGAGAAUGUGGAGAUAAACAUUAACAGGAAAAUAAACUGAACCAGAAGGAAGGCUUGUCAUAAAACCAGGCUGCUUUGAUCUGUCUGUCCAUUCAGGAAUUUCCUCCAUCUUUUUUCUUUUUUUUUUUUUUUCUCCAUGUAAGUUUGAAGGAAAGUGACCUCCAGACUGGAUUUACAGCAGAUCUUCAUCACGGCCAGGUGAAGCAUUUCAACACUGAGCUCCUGAGCACUGGGUUCUGUCCUUCACCCUGGGGUCCGGUGAUGAGCCACGGCCCCUCCCAAUGAUGGGUGCUGCCCAGGGAUGCUGAGCAGCCGGUGCAGCCGGGGGCUGUGCUCAGAAGCAGCCAGACCAGAUGCUCAGGAACUCGGAGUGUUUUUCACAUCUUCUCUUCCUGAAAGCUUUACUUAAUGCUGCAUUCCACAUAGGGUCGCAAUGGGCUUUGGAAAAGAGUUGCGGUUUCCCAAAGGGUGAUGCCUUCCCACUGUCCAUCUGAGAUGUGCCCAAGGUAUCCCUCCUGCCCUGGGAGAUGGGGCUGUUGUGGUUGUCUCUGUCUACUCCUUACGUGCUGUGAUUUGGUGCUUUCAGCUCCCACCCAGAAUGCAGCAGAACAAGGUUCCGUUUCCUCCCUUGCCUUGGGCAUUGGGGUGUUUAUCUCUCAGCAGCUGGCUGUGGGUGGGAAUGCUUCUCCUUCUAACCGAAGAACCUGGCAGAAAUCAGGCAGUCCUGGGGCUGGGAGAGCUCCCAGUGCUUGCUCCAAGUGCUGCCAGGAUGCACUGCUCCAGUAAAUGGAGCAGAGCCAGGUGACAUCGCUGGCACAGUGCGGCCCAAACCCUGCCAGCUGUGAGCUCAGGGCUCUCCAACAGCUCCUCAUGGUUCUGUCCCACAUCACCCAGUGCUGUUUGGGGGCAGUGCUGUUUGGGUAGGUUCUGUUUGCACUGUUUCAGACAAAGCCUUGGCCCAUGGCACAUCUCCAUCCGCACUGGUCUUUUAUCCAUACUGAAAUUGUCCUCCUGGGGUGCUUCACAAAUUCCAGUGAACAGUGACUUCCACAGUCCUUGUUCUGUCCUUUCUAUGUUGCUGUAACCUGCGAGGCACGUAAAAAAUAGCCACUGCUCUCAGGCAAAGACUUGUUCCAAAACUCCUCUUGGAAUCAUGCCUGAGAACACACAGAACACCCAAAGCACCACCGACCGCCCUGACUGCCAUGGGCUCCGCUCCACUUCCACUCCAUUUAAAAGCCAAAAUACUUACAUUUGCUGAACAAAGCAGCCCGUGCUGGCUUUCCCCAUCACCGUGUGCUGUGUGUGCUCCGCAGCAGUGUGCCGUUCCCUUGGCUCACUCCCUGGCUUUUAUAGAUAUCGCCGUGCUCGCACCACGUCAGAGCGGGGUUUGCCUUGCCAGGCACCAUCCCAGGGUGA